rnacentral:rRNA from 1 species
AUUGAACGCUGGCGGCAGGCCUAACACAUGCAAGUCGAGCGAGUGGCGGACGGGUGAGUAAUGCUUGGGAAUCUAGCUUAUGGAGGGGGAUAACUACGGGAAACUGUAGCUAAUACCGCGUACCAUAGGAUGAGCCCAAGUGGGAUUAGGUAGUUGGUGGGGUAAAGGCUCACCAAGCCGACGAUCUCUAGCUGGUCUGAGAGGAUGACCGGCCACACUGGGACUGCGCCACGGCCCAGACUCCUCCGGGAGGCAGAAGUGGGAAAUAUUGCGCAAUGGGGGCAACCUGACGCAGCAAUGCCGCGUGAAUGAAGAAGGCCUUCGGGUUGUAAAGUUCUUUCUGUAGCGAGGCGUUACCUACAGAAGAAGCACCGGCUAACUCCGUGCCAGCAGCCGCGGUAAUUC